UACGAAGGGUCCAAGCGUUGUUCGGAAUCAUUGGGCGUAAAGCGCGCGCAGGCGGAUCAGCAAGUCAGAUGUGAAAUCUCGAAGCUCAACUUCGAAACUGCGUCUGAAAUUGCUAGUCUAGAGUGUCGGAGGGGGUAGGGGAAUUUCACGUGUAGGGGUAAAAUCCGUAGAGAUGUGAAGGAACACCGGAGGCGAAGGCGCCUACCUGGACGACUACUGACGCUGAGGCGCGAAAGCGUGGGGAGCAAACAGG
rnacentral:rRNA from 1 species